rnacentral:rRNA from 1 species
UGGUNCNCUUANNACAUGCAAGUUUAACGGCUUUAGCCGUGGCGUACGGGUGAGUAAAACAUGAGUUAUCUACAUUUAGGUUGGGGAUAAGAAGUAGAAGUACUUUGUUUAAUACCCAAUAAAGCUCUUUUAGAGUUAAAUGAAUUUCGCCUAGAUAUGAGCUUAUGUCUGAUUAGCUAGUUGGUAGGGUAAAGGCCUACCAAGGCAAUGAUCAGUAGCUGUUCUGAGAAGGAGAUCAGCCACACUGGGACUGAGAUACGGAACAGACUCUUUAGGGAGGCAGCAGUGGGGAAUUUUUGGCAAUGGGCGAAAGCCUGACCAAGUGAUACUACGUGAAGGAUUAAGGUCUUCGGAUUGUAAACUUCUUUUUUCAUUGAUGAAUAUAUGACAUUAGAUGAAGAAUAAGCACCGGCUAAUUUCGUGCCAGCAGCCGCGGUAAUACGAGAGGUGCAAGCGUUAUCCGGAUUUAUUGGGCGUAAAGCGUUUGUAGAUGGUUUGCUAAGUUUAAUGUUAAAUUGCAAGGCCUAACCUUGUCAGGGCGUUAAAAACUGGUAAGACUUGAGUAUGGUGGAGAUAGAGGGAACUGGUAGUGUAGAGGUGAAAUUCGUAAAUAUUACCAAGAACACCGAUGGCGAAAGCACUCUAUUAUGCUAUUACUGACAUUGAGAGACGAAAGCUAGGGGAGCAAAGCAGAUUAGAUACCUGCGUAGUCCUAGCCGUAAACGAUGGACACUAAGUUAUGUGACUAAAAUUGCAUUUCUGUAGCUAACGCGUUAAGUGUCCCGCCUGGGGAGUAUGCUUGCAAAAGUGAAACUCAAAGGAAUUGACGGGUACCUACACAAGCGGUGGAGCAUGAGCAAUAAACGAUGAUACACGAUGAACCUUACCAGGGUUUGACAUGCUGGAUGCUUUUUCGAAAGAAUUAUUACCUCUUGUAUAAGAGGAUGCCAGACACAGGUGGUGCAUGGCUGUCGUCAGCUCGUGUCGUGAGACGUUAGGUUAAUUCCGUUAACGAGCGCAACCCUCGUCUUUAGUUAAUUUUCUAUAGAGACUGCCAGUGUUAAAUUGGAGGAAGGAGAGGAUGACGUCAAGUCAGCAUGCCCCUUAUAUCCUGGGCCUGACUCGUGCUACAAUGACUAAUACAAUGAGUAUAUAAAUCUGCGAGGAGGAUAAAACCUUUAAAUUUAGUCUUAGUUCGGAUCGCUUUCUGCAACUCGAAAGCGUUAAGUAGGAAUCGCUAGUAAUCGCCGGUCAGCUAUACGGUGGUGAAUAUGUUCUUAGGUAUUGUACAAACCGCCCGUCACGCCACGAAAAUUGACUAAACUCGAAAUGGUUAUUUAAAAUGAUUAUUAAGGUUGAGUUGUUAAUUGGGGCGAAGUCGUAACAAGGUA